UAAAAAUUCAAUUAUAUUUCAAUUGUCCCCUAGGUAUUAAAUUGAAAAGAGCAUUUUGAUCCUGCUGCCCUUGGCUCCAAAAGAAACAGAAUAAUGAGACUUCUAGGCGUUUUCUGUGCAGAAAAGAUUCAAUUCAGACAGAUUUCUACAACAUCAGAGGAAGGGAACCUGUUUUUAUUCCUGAUCCUCCAUCUGCCUGUGCCAGACUGCAAGGAAUAUUGGGAAAACUGGAGGCUGGAGAAUGUGGAAAGAAAACAGUGAAGAUCCCAGCUGAAGAAAAAAUCCUGGAACUGUGGGAAGAACCUGAGGAUCAGAAAGCUGUGUAGAUACUAGUGCUGGGGGAUGAGCAGGGACAUUAGUCACUAACAUCUGAGAUGAGUGCUUAGGAGCA
rnacentral:lncRNA from 1 species